rnacentral:rRNA from 1 species
UACGGAGGGUGCGAGCGUUAAUCGGAAUUACUGGGCGUAAAGUGUGCGCAGGCGGCAGAGCAAGUCGAGUGUGAAAGCCCCGGGCUUAACUUGGGAAUUGCGCUCGAAACUACUUUGCUGGAGUGUGGCAGAGGAAGGUGGAAUUCCACGUGUAGCGGUGAAAUGCGCAGAUAUCAGGAGGAACACCGGUGGCGAAGGCGGGUCUCUGGGCCGAUACUGACGCUGAGGAGCGAAAGCGUGGGGAGCGAACAGG